UAUAACAUGGAUUCAUAUAAAGCAGAACAUAUGAGCCAUAUAAGAUUAUAAAUGAAUCAAGUAUCAAAAUAUUGAAAAAUAUGAACAUUAUUUGCAUUUAUUCCAAUUAGAAUGCUGCCAAUUAGAGUUAGGAUUCAUCAGAAUACCAAGUGACUCAUAUUGCAAUUAGACUGUGAUAAUAUCAAAUUUAUCUACUAUGUUAUAAGAGUGUAUUUUAUUGCACAUUGCUACAAUUUUUUUGUUGCAUUAUACAAAUCCAUGCUAUACAAAUAAUAUGUUAUAUGAAGAUCUACUGUAAUUUGUAUAUUUCAUUCAUAUGGUCCCACAGAAUCCAAAUUUUUGAGUUGACUAUGUGGUAUUUACAGCAGUGGCUUUCCAUUUUGGAGGAUCCAGGUUCAAUGCUAGGUACACAAAUGCAGUUUCUCAGGUGGUUUUGUGCAUACCACCAACUCUUUCCACUCCUAGAACUCUUUCCUUCAAUCUCCUAGUUGACCCCACUAUGGGUGUUGACCAGGCUAUGGCAGGCUUUAAAAAUGGCUUCUGCCAAAAGUAUCCCA
rnacentral:lncRNA from 1 species